rnacentral:rRNA from 1 species
AGAUGAACGCUGGCGGCAGGCUUAACACAUGCAAGUCGAGCGGGGGAAGGUAGCUUGCUACUGGACCUAGCGGCGGACGGGUGAGUAAUGCUUAGGAAUCUGCCUAUUAGUGGGGGACAACAUCUCGAAAGGGAUGCUAAUACCGCAUACGUCCUACGGGAGAAAGCAGGGGAUCUUCGGACCUUGCGCUAAUAGAUGAGCCUAAGUCGGAUUAGCUAGUUGGUGGGGUAAAGGCCUACCAAGGCGACGAUCUGUAGCGGGUCUGAGAGGAUGAUCCGCCACACUGGGACUGAGACACGGCCCAGACUCCUACGGGAGGCAGCAGUGGGGAAUAUUGGACAAUGGGGGGAACCCUGAUCCAGCCAUGCCGCGUGUGUGAAGAAGGCCUUAUGGUUGUAAAGCACUUUAAGCGAGGAGGAGGCUACUUUAGUUAAUACCUAGGGAUAGUGGACGUACUCGCAGAAUAAGCACCG